rnacentral:miRNA from 1 species
AUAUGAAUCACUUGGGGGAGCUUGUUAAAAUACGGAUGUUAGGGCCCCACCCUAAAGCCCUUGAAUCAGAACUCCUGGGUAAAGUCUGGUCAUCCAUAUGUUUACCAAGCUUCCCAGGUGAUUAUGAU